GCUGCUUACGACGUCACAGAUGACGAUUUAAGUAGACUUUUCUAUAAUCCACAAUGACAGCAUAGGUUUUAUGAUUUUUGAAUAGUUCUAAGUGGCAUAGGCUGUAGCAGGCUUGUCUCUGAUGCGUUUGUAUAGCUUAGGCCUAUGCUAGCUAAGGGUUGAGGGCGGAGAGAGAGUGUAGAAAGCCUACCUCCCUGGUACCUAGGCAUAAGGCUAGGUAGGUAGUAGGUUUCAACGGGAAUUAUAGGUACUGUCAACCAACCAUAACUUAGGUAAACUAACCUAUAACUUAGACUAACCUAAGAACUUGACCUCGUACGUAUUGAGCUAACCUGGCUAGAAAGGGCGGGGCGAGGGAUGCCCCGACUCCCUUGGCAACCUCCGUACCCGUAAGUUAGGUACGUAUGACCCCUCCCACUGCAUGAGGAGUUGUUAGCUAUUCAUACCCCACAGGUCGCACGAGUCGCUUUUACUGUUAGAUAGGUAGAAGGUUGGGGGUUUAAAAUGGAUGGGAAGCCUUCUCCCCGCCACCAUCCAGGCUAGUGCACGGCAUCUAAGGUUAGGUUACGUCGAGGUAAGUAUGGUUAGAUCAUGGUCAUGACACACUUAUGGAGAGAGGUGCUACUACCUAAUCCCUCUCAGCCAGGUCAGGGUACAGUGUCCAAGUUUCGGUUGGAUUACAUAUCCUAUAUUAUGUAUAAUAUAGCAAGUUGCUAGCUAGUAUGUGAAUAAGUUUCAUCCAAUGAAAUAGGAUAAAAGACCGAGCGGUGACAUACUGGCCACCCCUCUUGGAACGCGGCCACUUACAGAAAAAGUGCUUGAAUUAUGCCAUUAUUUCGUAAUUUAGGAGAAAACACUUAGUUUAUUAGGAAAACACAGGUCUCAUUGUGUUGCCUGGAUGGGCCACAACUCUUGACUGAUGCUCAUGCCAGCGAAUUCAAGUACCUUUUCGGGUAGGUGGCCGCAUUCCGGGAUCGGUGGCCGCUAAGUCACAGUUUGGUCGUUUACCAUAAUAAGUUAUAUUCCUUUUGAAAUGCCUACUAGGGCUAUAGCAGCUCUGACCCGUGUUCAGGGAUAGAAUGCAGAGUGGGUGAUUGAUGCAAGUCUUGUAAGGUCACAUUGCCUCUAAAAUUACCACUAUAUUUACCCGUGCGUAGGCUAUCAGAGGCCUUUCCCUGACCUCAUGCAGUUAAUAGGAUAGGUAUGCUGUACAGGUCUAUUUGAUCUGUGCUCAAACAUUAUAAGGUAUGUGUAUGUGGCUAGGUUACGUUUCUUUAAUUUCCUUUAGGAUUUAGUGUUGUUAGUGCACCUCACAUGGUACACUGUAGGUAUUGUAAGGUUCCUUGCAGUGUCCUUCAGUCGCUAGCUGUGGCACCUUUUAUACUUCUAUCUAUGUCUCUGUUCAUAUUCUUUUUCUACCAUCUUGCUUUCCACCCUUGUAAAUGGUGUUUCAUAGUGCACCUGCAAGGUUUUCUUCCUGUUGCAUGAUUCAAACCUUUCUCAGUUUCCCUUCUAGCGCUGAGUGCUUUCUAAGGUCCCAGCGGUUGGCCUUUUGCCUAAAUUUCAUAUUCCAUUCCUAUUUGAUUCUGAUUUAGGCCUCUGGGGCUACUAAAACUCAAUGUAAAUAGAGUGCGUAAUGGCAUAUUUGCUGAGCCUUUAAGAACACUUAGGCUGAUCUUUAAGGUCUUCAAUUAAGAUUUGUUGGAGAUGAUUACCUGUUACCUUUUACAUUUAUGCCAACCUGCACUAUGUGUAGCAUUAAGCUGUGGACCCAGGCCUGGUUAUUCUUUCUUCCAUAUGCCGGAGAUAUCUGAUUAAUGGAUUCCAUUAUACGUAAUUGUGUUUAUUGUAGCUCACCAUUUUGUGGAUACAACUGGCCUUGUAAGCUAAGUUGUAAAUAUGGAGAUACUGAUUCUUUUGAGAGAAAUUAUGUAAAAUACUCAAAUUUAUAGCCUAAAUUUAGACCUCCCCUGAAAAUAGAAUCAAUCUUUAGUUAUUGUAAGCCAAUUGACCUCUUAAACUGCGGCUGAUUUAGUCAAGUGCACUACUCAAGUGUUUGCCUGAGUGUAUAUGUUAGAAAUGUUUGUAUACAUGCUCUUGAAUAAAUUUUUUUUUCAUCGUAAACUGGGUGUUUCAUCAUACUUAAAGCACUAGCUCCAAUAUGCUCUCACUAUUCGUAGCAGUUGUUUGAUGUUAUUUACUUGGUAUUGUUUUACUUUUUUUUUUUUUUUAAAUUUUAAUAGUAAAAAAAUCAAGUUUAUGCUCGAGAAGUACAAUCAAGUUAGUGAUACUUCAGUGACUUGUAUUUGAGGAGAUAUGCUUUAUGAUUUCCCCUGAACUAUAUUCUGUAGAUCUAUGUUGAAAAACUCUCAGAAGACCUUGGUAGCUCUAUCCAGGUUGAUUCACAGUAACAAUGGAGAGAAUUAUGUACCCAGAAUGUUUUCACAUGGACAUCUGGUCAGCUGAGAGCAUAAAACUUGAAAAUGAAAUGUAGGCAAGACAUGUUUUGUCAGAUAUUCAAAGUAGAUUGAAAAGACUGUUGAUCAGUACCUGCAAGCGCUGAAGACCUCCAGUAAGGAUGACUUUUUCGGAGGAAUGGAGGUGGAAGAGGAUGCUCAGUGCCAUCAGUAUGAAAUAUAUAAGGAUAGCCUUCACCUUGAAGUUAUUCUUUUUGUGUAACCUCAUCCAUUAAGAGAAGCAUGCAGUUAUUUGAAUAAAGUCUUUGAGAGUCAAGUAUAAAUUUGAAAAACUGAAGCAAAAGUAGUGGAGUUAAUGGUUUACAGGAAAGUCAGUGUUUCUUCUUGCUGUAGGGAUUAGUUUUUAUCUAAUUGUUUCAUGUGAUUGACUUUCAUCAUAAUUAGUGUCAAGCAUUGCCUAUGAACAUGGUAACCUAAUGUCAGUGUCAUUUUGAAUAAGAAUUUGAACAUGUCAGGUAUUUUCAGACAUUUAUUUGAUUUAUGUCAUGUUUUCUUGGAUUAGUAUCAAUCUUGAAAAUCAGUUGAUUUUUCUAUUAAAUAGAUUUUGUAUUUUUUAAAAAGUUGUUUUAUUAUAACUUGAACAACUAAUAAAAGUGUAGUAUUCAAUUAAACUUUUUGGGCUCACAUGCAAACAAUUGCCUUAGGUUGUUCCUUAUGUUUUGUUUGAAUUGGUGAUGCAAUGCCAUAGGGGGUUAGUGCCAUCAGUGUACCUCUCACGGUGGACUGUAGGGAUUGAUUAAUGUUGUUUGCAGCAUCCUCUCAGCCCAUACCUGCAACCCCGCUCAUUCCUAUCACUGUACCUCCGUUCAUAUUCUCUUUCUUCCAUCUUGCCAUCCUUUCCUCUAUUGUUUUACAGUGCAACUGUACUGCAGGUUUUUCCUACUUUUACUCAUUUAAAACUUUUUUCGUAAUUUCUCUUUCAGUGCUGAGUGAUCUCGUAGGUCCCAGCAGUUGGCCUAAAUUUUAUUUUCCAUUCCAUUUUUUUUUUACAGAGAAAUACACAUGGUUUCAUGAAUGAGAGCCAGAUAUCCCAAUAAAACACACACAAAUGUUUUGAAGCCUUGGAUUUUGUUUACCAGGCUUCAUGUCCUUACUACAGAGUUAUGCAUUCUUGCAGACUGCUGAUGUCAUUUUUGUAAAUAGUCAUCCGUUUAUUUCCCCCUCAGUUUAGUUUAAAUAAUUUUUUUUUAUUUUAUUUUAAUAAAAUAUAGGCCUAGCUAGUUCAGGACAGAAAUACUGUACAUUAGGAGAGUCUUGUUUUGGUAUAGAUUUUGUUAAGUGAAGUGGCUUUUUACGAAAAUUGUGAAAUUUAAACCAAAAAAGUUCAAGCAAUGAUGCUGUACAUUAUACCC